CCACCACAGACACAGCCACAGCCUCCAUCUCAACCACGGCAACAAAAUGCCCAAGACCCUCUUACCCGGCUCAGUUCCAAGCACAAACUCCAGGAUUCCCAAAAGCCUGGCCCCCAGCUUGACUCCAUGGGGGCCCAUCGCUUUAAGGAUAAAGUCCAAGGAGGGCAGAAAAUCCCUCUAGACCCCGGUUUCAGGAAACCAGACCAGCCCUACCUCACUACACAUACCUCGAAGACACGCUUCACGUCAAUGGAUUACAUACAGCAGUGGUGAUCCCCUGACAGACCCCAAGGCCCAACUGGUCAUCAGUAAACAACAGAUGAGCAAAUCUACCUUCUCACCAUCCAGCAAUGUCUGCACUCCAAAGGCCAUGCCCUUCUGGUCCAUUCCAGAACAGGAGGCUAGCCCAGAAUAAAAUGACGUUUCCUGCAGACUUGAAACUGGUCAGCUCUGUGAGACUGAGGGGAAAGAGGCAGGAAGACCCAGGAGGGGGGGAACACCCAUGAGGGGAUGGAGAGGGUGAGAGAAGAAAGUGGAAAGCAAUUGCAUGCUUCGCUAGGCAAAGCCAGUGGGAGAACUGGCCUUAUACUCCCAAGUCUCCAACUCCAGCCUUUUCUUUAAGAAAAAAAAAAAAGUUUUU